rnacentral:lncRNA from 1 species
GUUUAACAUUUAAGCAAAUUGUCAGUGGACUGGAAAGAAAGAGGGAAGGCAACUUGACAACAUCCUGCUGACCCAAAACUGGAGAAGUCUGUUCUACCUUUCAAAGCUCUUGAGACACAUUUUGACUGCUGUUUCUGCUCAAAUAUAAAAUAAAUCCUAGGAGACUACCAAGAUUGGUUUCUGGCUGUGUGCAAAAGAAAAGUUAUUUCAAUGACAGAAUGCAGUGUCCACACAGGUCACUGCGAAAGGCUGGGGAAAGUGUGGUUUUGAGGGCUUUUGGGACCCAUCUGGGCAAACCUCCUACAACAUUGUCUGCUUUCAUAGUUUGCCAUUCUCUGUGAUGGAGGUCAGACCAGAGAACUCCUGGGAUCCCUCCCCACCUUUGUGACUGGGCUAAUUCUAUGGAUUCACCUUCCCUUGAGGUUACCAGCCUUGGAGGUGACUUCUAACUGGAAGAGAAGCCCAUUUGCAAGAGGAUGCUCGAUGGGUCAGUGGGUACCACGAGGGCCCUGUCUGAGGUUUCUCUACAGCCCUGGCAAAUGCAUGCACCACCCUCUGGUACAGAGCUGGCCCAGAGGUGACAGUGAGGGCCAUGCUGGGCUGGAUCCACGGAGCAGGACAGCCCUCACCUCACCCUGGAGAUCCUGCAGGAUGAGUAUUUGAAAAUACAAGGGGUAAAGCAAACAAAGAGGAUGCAGAUUUGGUACAAAAUCUCAGAGAAGAGGAUCUUUUGUGCCAUCCUGUUAGAGGGGAAACAAGAAAAGCUGCACAGAGACAAGAACUCAGGAGCAAACAAGAGUGUCUCUGCAGAAUGGAUCAGCUCUUGGAAAACCGAGGGGUGAGUGGAUCAGAG